rnacentral:rRNA from 1 species
UACAGAGGGUGCGAGCGUUAAUCGGAGUUACUGGGCGUAAAGGGCGCGCAGGCGGUUGUACAAGUGGGAUGUGAAAUCCCCGGGCUUAACCCGGGAACUGCAUUCCAGACUGUACGACUGGAGUACUGUAGAGGGUAGUGGAAUUUCCGGUGUAGCGGUGAAAUGCGUAGAGAUCGGAAGGAACACCAGUGGCGAAGGCGGCUACCUGGACAGAUACUGACGCUGAGGCGCGAAAGCGUGGGGAGCAAACAGG